CUACCGAAUGUACGACCCAAGCUUGCAUAAUCACUGCAUCGUUGCUCGGAAAGGUCAGUUUUUUGCGGUUGACUUUAUCGAUGAGACGACGGGCGAUCCGUUGCCACUGGAGGUUAUCGAAAAUAGGCUGCAGCAAUGCGUGGAUUUGG
rnacentral:ribozyme from 1 species